GUAUUGAUUGCGUGUGACCGCAAAAUAAAUAAAUAAAAAGAACAUUCUACACUGUAUCAAGUUUUAUGUGAAAACGCAAGCCCCCCCUCUGAACGAGCCAAAAGGGGGACCCACGCGGUGGUGCACAGGGUGAGAUGGAUUGUUUGAAAAUGCUCGGGCGUGCACGACCAAAAGUCAGCGACAGCCCUUGCACCUCAGUUUUACAAUAAUGAUCCUUCCGCAGGUUCACCUACGGAAA
rnacentral:misc_RNA from 1 species